AAUCUUCCGCAAUGGACGAAAGUCUGACGGAGCAACGCCGCGUGAGUGAUGAAGGUUUUCGGAUCGUAAAACUCUGUUGUUAGGGAAGAAUUAGUAUCGGAGUCACUGCCGGUACCUUGACGGUACCUGACGAGAAAACCUCGGCUAACUACGUGCCAGCAGCCGCUGAAAUACGUAGGUGGCACGCGUUGUACUGAUUUAUUGGGCGUAAAGCACGCGCAGGAGGUCUUUUAAGUCUGAGGUGAAAUCUUACAGCUUAACUGUAAGCGGUCAGUGGAAACUGGGAGACUUGAGUGCAGAAGAGGAGAGUGGAAUUCCAUGUGUAGCGGUGAAAUGCGUAGAGAUAUGGAGAAACACCAGUGGCGAAGGCGACUCUCUGGUCUGUAACUGACGCUGAGGCGCGAAAGCGUGGGGAUCAAACA
rnacentral:rRNA from 1 species